CGAAGGGGGCUAGCGUUGUUCGGAAUUACUGGGCGUAAAGCGCGCGCAGGCGGUCUUCCAAGUCAGUGGUGAAAGCCUGGAGCUCAACUCCAGAACUGCCAUUGAAACUGUUAGACUUGAGUACGAGAGAGGUGAGUGGAAUUCCCAGUGUAGAGGUGAAAUUCGUAGAUAUUGGGAAGAACACCAGUGGCGAAGGCGGCUCACUGGCUCGUAACUGACGCUCAGGCGCGACAGCGUGGGGAUCAAACAGGAUUAGAUACCCUGGUAGUCCACGCCGUAAACGAUGAAUGCUAGCCGUUGGAUAACUUGCUAUUCAGUGGCGCAGCUAACGCAUUAAGCAUUCCGCCUGGGGAGUACGGCCGCAAGGUUG
rnacentral:rRNA from 1 species